CUCUAUGGCUCGGCAGACAGAGCAUCUGCCCGAUGAGCAGAAUGUUGCCGGUUCGAAUCCGGCUUACUGAGU
rnacentral:tRNA from 1 species